rnacentral:rRNA from 1 species
UAGUGACCAUACUAUGCUGAAUAUACCGAUUCUCGUUAGAUCACCGAACUCAAACAUCAUUGGGCGCGGUCAGUAUUUGGUUGGGUCACCACCUGGGAACACCGCGUGUCGUU